AAAACAUAACGUAUCAAUAAACUUUUAAAUCAUUGAGGAGAUCCCUCUGGACUCCAAUUCUGGGGCAUCCAAAAGAUAGAAACCCAUUGGAGAGGGAUGUCUGGAAUCGGCGUUGAGCCGAGUGUUGAGUGUAUGUGUGCAUGUAGGAGUGUAUUUGUAUGUACAGAGAAGAGAAACUCGACGGGAGUUUGUUAAUCAUGAAAGGCCAUCUACCCCACAGAGAAAGGAGGUUCAUUAGAAAUUAGAAAUUUGGGAGAGAAUGUAGAAAAAUCUUUUUUAGAGAGAAUUUGGAGAGGACCAC